AUUUUUAUAGUGUAUUAAACACCUAACAUUUUCAUUGUUAAAAAGCCUUGGCUAAAAAUA
rnacentral:tRNA from 1 species